rnacentral:rRNA from 1 species
CCUACGGGUGGCAGCAGUGGGGAAUAUUGCACAAUGGAGGCAACCCUGAUGCAGCGACGCCGCGUGAGUGAAGAAGUCAUUCUUUGUGUAAAGCUCUAUCAGCAGGAGAGAAAAUGACGGUACCUGAAUACGCCUCCCCGUCUAACUCCGUUCCAGCAGCCGCGGUACUACGUAGGGGGCAACCGUUAUCCGGAUUUCCUGGGUGUAAAGGGGGCGUAGACGGCUGUGCAAGUCUGGAGUGAAAGGCGGGGGCUCAACCCCCGGACUGCUUCGGAAACUGUACGGCUGGAGUGUAGGAGCGGUAAGUGGAUUGUAUAGUGUAGCGGUGAAAUGCGUAGAGAUCAGAAGGAACACCAGUGGCGAAGGCGGCUUACUGGACUGUAACUGACGUUGAGGCUCGAAAGCGUGGGGAGCAAACAGGAUUAGAUACCCUGGUAGUC